rnacentral:rRNA from 1 species
UGGGGAAUUUUGGACAAUGGGCGCAAGCCUGAUCCAGCCAUGCCGCGUGCAGGAUGAAGGCCCUCGGGUUGUAAACUGCUUUUGUACGGAACGAAAAGCCUCUUUCUAAUAAAGAGGGGUGAUGACGGUACCGUAAGAAUAAGCACCGGCUAACUACGUGCCAGCAGCCGCGGUAAUACGUAGGGUGCGAGCGUUAAUCGGAAUUACUGGGCGUAAAGCGUGCGCAGGCGGUCUUGCAAGGCAGUGGUGAAAUCCCCGGGCUCAACCUGGGAACUGCCAUUGUGACUGCAAGGCUGGAGUACGGCAGAGGGGGAUGGAAUUCCGCGUGUAGCAGUGAAAUGCGUAGAUAUGCGGAGGAACACCGAUGGCGAAGGCAGUCCCCUGGGCCUGUACUGACGCUCAUGCACGAAAGCGUGGGGAGCAAACA